rnacentral:lncRNA from 1 species
UCCAGGGACGGGGCAUCCACAACCUCUCUGGGCAGCCCGUUCCAGCACCUCGCCACUCUCCUGGCCUGCCUACCAGCUGUGGAGCUAAUAUCUACACGUGGCCCUGUAUCAUCCUUCUUAUACCUAUGAAUUUACCUUUCUAGCCAUCACCAGAAGGUUCAUCUCAUCAACUCUUGUUACUGAAACAGCAUCUUCCAUGGCCAAGAAUUGAACACUGCAACUUAGUGAACUUCCUCUAUCGUGUCCAGACAAUAUGGAGUGCUUUUCCUGAAUUACAUGUUCAUCAAGAAUCACAACUGCAUUCACCUGACAGUUAGGAUUACAGUAUCAUAUCGGCCAGGCCAUCACUUCUGCAAUCUUCACCAGCAAAGGAGGCAGAUAUUCUGUGGCUUCGUACUGGGGCACCUUGGAACACACUUUCUGUGGUUUGUUUGGCCCUGCUGAACAUGACAAACUGGACAUAAGAAGGCAUUAUAAGUACUGGGUGAAUGCUCAUGUCUUUGCUGCCCAUUGGAACAGUGUUAAAAUAAAGCUCCUUUUGACACGCUUAGGUGUAAACAUCGUUUCCAGGUAGGAAAGUGUUCUGAAGAUUUUUAAGCCAGGUGAUUUUAAAAAUGCUCCCUUUGAAACAAAAGGACCUCAGCAGGGAUUUUGGCUGAUGCAUUUGUGAGGCAAAGGGGAAUAUAUCAGCAUGACUUAGCCUCUGGCUCCCGAGGAUGGUUUCACGCGUGGGAAAUGCGGCUGCGAGAGCACCGGCCAAGGCGCGCUGAUGCGGGCGCUGUCCGUG